rnacentral:piRNA from 1 species
UCCUGCCUUGAGUUCCCUCUUUUGA